GAAGGGGUGUAUUUAUUAGAUAAAAAACCAAUGCCCUCCGGGGCUGCUUGGUGAUUCAUAAUAACUUCUCAGAUCGCAUGGCCUUGCGCCGGCGACGGUUCAUUCAAAUUUCUGCCCUAUCAACUUUCGAUGGUACGGUAGUGGCCUACCAUGGUUUCAACGGGUAACGGGGAAUUAGGGUUUGAUUCCGGAGAGGGAGCCUGAGAAACGGCUACCACAUCCAAGGAAGGCAGCAGGCGCGCAAAUUACCCAAUACCGAUACGGUGAGGUAGUGACAAUAAAUACUGAUACAGGGCUCUUUAGGGUCUUGUAAUUGGAAUGAGUACAAUUUAAACCUCUUAACGAGGAACAAUUGGAGGGCAAGUCUGGUGCCAGCAGCCGCGGUAAUUCCAGCUCCAAUAGCGUAUAUUAAAGUUGUUGCAGUUAAAAAGCUCGUAGUUGAACCUUUGGCCUGGCUGGCUGGUCCGCCUCACCGCGUGCACUA
rnacentral:rRNA from 1 species